UACGGAGGAUGCGAGCGUUAUCCGGAUUUAUUGGGUUUAAAGGGUGCGUAGGCGGGAUAAUAAGUCAGUGGUGAAAGCCUGUAGCUUAACUAUAGAAUUGCCAUUGAUACUGUUAUUCUUGAGUACAGUUGAGGUAGGCGGAAUGUGUAAUGUAGCGGUGAAAUGCUUAGAUAUUACACAGAACACCAAUUGCGAAGGCAGCUUACUAAGCUGGAACUGACGCUGAGGCACGAAAGCGUGGGGAGCAAACAGGAUUAGA
rnacentral:rRNA from 1 species